rnacentral:rRNA from 1 species
UACAGAGGUCUCAAGCGUUGUUCGGAUUCAUUGGGCGUAAAGGGUGCGUAGGUGGCGCUGUAAGUCGGGUGUGAAAUUUCGGAGCUUAACUCCGAAACUGCAUUCGAUACUGCCGUGCUUGAGGACUGGAGAGGAGACUGGAAUUUACGGUGUAGCGGUGAAAUGCGUAGAUAUCGUAAGGAAGACCAGUGGCGAAGGCGGGUCUCGUGGACAGUUCCUGACGCUGAGGCACGAAGGUCAGGGGAGCAAACGGG